rnacentral:rRNA from 1 species
CCCUUAGAUGUUCUGGGCCGCACGCGCGCUACACUGAUGCAUUCAACGAGCCUAGCCUUGACCGAGAGGUCCGGGUAAUCUUUGAAACUGCAUCGUGAUGGGGCUAGAUUAUUGCAAUUAUUAAUCUUCAACGAGGAAUGCCUAGUAAGCGUGAUUCAUCAAAUCGCGUUGAUUACGUCCCUGCCCUUUGUACACACCGCCCGUCGCUCCUACCGAUUGAGUGUGUUGGUGAGGAGUUCGGAUUGGCUCUUAGUGGUGGUUCGCCACCACCUAGAGCUGAGAAGUCCUCCAAACCGCCCCACUUAGAGGAAGGAGAAGUCGUAACA